GGGGUUGUGGCUCAGUGGUAGAGCACUUGCCUAGCAUGUGUGAGGACCUGGGUUUGAUCCUCAGCACCA
rnacentral:tRNA from 1 species